rnacentral:rRNA from 1 species
UUUAAAUUGAGAGUUUGAUCCUGGCUCAGGACGAACGCUGGCGGCGUGCCUAACACAUGCAAGUCGAGCGGAGAAUGCGGAUAUGUUUACAUAGAAGCGUUCUUAGCGGCGGACGGGUGAGUAACACGUGGGUAACCUGCCUCAAAGUGGGG